rnacentral:tRNA from 1 species
GGGCCUAUAGCUUAGCUGGUAGAGCGGAUGACUCAUAAUCGUCUGGUCACAGGUUCGAGUCCUGUUAGGCCCACC